AACGAACGCUGGCGGCAUGCCUAACACAUGCAAGUCGAACGAGACCUUCGGGUCUAGUGGCGCACGGGUGCGUAACGCGUGGGAACCUGCCCUUAGGUUCGGAAUAACUCCCCGAAAGGGGUGCUAAUACCGGAUAAUGUCUCCGGACCAAAGAUUUAUCGCCUUUGGAUGGGCCCGCGUUGGAUUAGCUAGUUGGUAGGGUAAAAGCCUACCAAGGCGACGAUCCAUAGCUGGUCUGAGAGGAUGAUCAGCCACACUGGGACUGAGACACGGCCCAGACUCCUACGGGAGGCAGCAGUGGGGAAUAUUGGACAAUGGGCGAAAGCCUGAUCCAGCAAUGCCGCGUGAGUGAUGAAGGCCUUAGGGUUGUAAAGCUCUUUUACCCGGGAUGAUAAUGACAGUACCGGGAGAAUAAGCUCCGGCUAACUCCGUGC
rnacentral:rRNA from 1 species